rnacentral:tRNA from 1 species
GGAAUAUAGCUCAGUUGGUAGAGUGCUUGCCUCACAUGUACAAGGCCCUGGGUUCAAUCCUCAGCACCA